CCUACGGGUGGCUGCAGUCGAGAAUCAUUCACAAUGGGGGCAACCCUGAUGGUGCGACGCCGCGUGGGGGAAUGAAGGUCUUCGGAUUGUAAACCCCUGUCAUGUGGGAGCAAAUUAAAAAGCUAGUACCACAAGUGGUAGAGACGGCUAACUCUGUGCCAGCAUCCGCGGUAAUACGGAGGGCUCAUGCGUUGUUCGGAAUCACUGGGCGUAAAGGGUGCGUAGGCUGUUUCGUAAGUCGUGUGUGAAUGGCGCGGGCUCAACCCGCGGACGGCACAUGAUACUGCGGGACUAGAGUAAUGGAGGGGGAACCGGAAUUCUCGGUGUAGCAGUGAAAUGCGUAGAUAUCGAGAGGAACACUCGUGGCGAAGGCGGGUUCCUGGACAUUAACUGACGCUGAGGCACGAAGGCCAGGGGAGCGAAAGGGAUUAGAUACCCGGGUAGUC
rnacentral:rRNA from 1 species